AACCUGGUUGAUCCUGCCAGUAGUCAUAUGCUUGUCUCAAAGACUAAGCCAUGCAUGUCUAAGUAUAAGUAUUAUACAGCGAAACUGCGAAUGGCUCAUUAAAACAGUUAUAAUUUAUUUGAUAAUCGAAUUUACAUGGAUAACCGUGGUAAUUCUAGAGCUAAUACAUGCUGGUAGGCCCGACUUUUUGGAAGGGCGGUAUUUAUUAGAUAACAAACCAAUAUUCCUCUGGUCUAUUGUGGUGAAUCAUAAUAACUGGUCGAAUCGCAAGGUUUUUAACCGCGAUAAGUCAUUCAAGUUUCUGCCCCAUCAGCUUUCGAUGGUAGUGUAUUGGACUACCAUGGCUUUUACGGGUAACGGAGGAUUAGGGUUCGAUUCCGGAGAGGGAGCCUGAGAAACGGCUACCCACAUCUAAGGAA
rnacentral:rRNA from 1 species